AGGAAACCUGCAAAGAGGUAUUAUUACUCCUUUUCUGGUACCUGUCGGAAGGAUUCCGUGAAAGCGCUGAGGUUUUCUAGGUCAUUGAACCUCAAAAGAGCCACUUCAGGAGUCAGCAAAAGGCAGGGCCUAAAGGUAAUUCUUCUGAACCUCCUCAAUAAUUAUCCUCAGGGGUCAGAAACACUGAUGCUUCACAGGUGACCUGCAAACUGCUCACACGUGGCUGAAGGGCCAGAAGAAGGAAAGCACUACAGUCCAUUUGUCAGGGGAAAAAAGAAAUAAAUGGAAAUUCCUUCUGAAAAAGCUCACUGUCCACUCUUCACCAGUGAUCAUUUCAGGAGGAUUAUAUUAAUAUUAUGUAAUAAUAUUAAUAUUAAUAUGGAUGGAAUAUGCCCAGUGCACUUGACAGCAAAACCAGACCCUAAGCCCACACCACCCAGGCACACUGUCCUGUCGUGUAUUUUGUCCUGGCAAAAUAAUCUUGUUUUCCUAAAAGCUUCUUGUUUUUUAAAAGAAAGUAAAAAUAAGUGACUGAAAUUCAUCCAGUAAAUUCAUUGAACCGUAAUUUAUUCAGUGUUUUGAUGUAGCCUGAUGGGGCUAAUUGUAAAUGAUGUCUUGCUUACAGAUAUGAACUCAUUUGUAUUUCUGAGGUGACUUUUUCCCUUUACCACAUUAGAGGGGAAAAAAAUUCUUCUCUUGUAACAACUAUUAAAUAACCCUCUUUUUCGUAAUAAUCAAAAUGGCUAGUUUUUUAGGCGAAAGUUAUAAAUACUGUAGAAUUAUUUUCAGAAAUUUUGAAAAGGAAACAUAAUUUCCAUUGAAACAUGUAAUCUUCUUAUUUGAUAUCCCUUUAUAUGUUAAUUCAUAGUAUCUGGAGACUUGGAUUUUAAUUUAAAACAACUUUGGUUUGCAAGUCCAAAAUUGAUAUUUAUGUACAAUUUAUGCAAAAUGUAUAAAUCAGGAAAAAUGAAGUUCUUAAGAAUAUAUGAUGAUCUUAAAUUUCUGUUCCUGGAAUAUUUUUCCAAUUAAGUUCAUGAAUGUUUCUAAUAUAAAUGUAAUGUUGCCCUUUUUAGAGGAGUUAGUAGUCCUUUAGAGGAGUUCUAGUCUUUGUAUGUGUGUUUCCUAUUCUUUGUUUUUAACAAGGAAUGUGGUCAAAUGUAAAAUGAGCUUGAUUUGGGUUAAGUGAAACUCUAAUUGCAAAAAAGUGUAAGAAUUGCUAUGUUUACAAGUACCUGGUAUUUCUAUUUGAAGAAAUGUGUGAAAAAUAACAAAUAAAUAAUUAAGAUAGAUGUGUUGUUGAGAACCCUUUUGUUUCACCUUAUUCAGAAUGUUAUGUAAACCUGAGCACUGUGAGUUGGAUACUUUUUUUUUUCAUGUUUUAAAAAUUAUUUUUAAUUUUUGA